rnacentral:rRNA from 1 species
GUGUCAGCAGCCGCGGUAAUACAGAGGUCCCAAGCGUUGUUCGGAUUCACUGGGCGUAAAGGGUGCGUAGGUGGUCAGGUAAGUUGGGUGUGAAAGCUCGGGGCUUAACCCCGAAACGGCAUUCAAAACUACUUGGCUGGAGGGUCGGAAGGGAGACUGGAAUUCUCGGUGUAGCGGUGAAAUGCGUAGAGAUCGAGAGGAACACCAGUGGCGAAAGCGAGUCUCUGGACGACUCCUGACACUGAGGCACGAAAGCUAGGGGAGCAAACAGGAUUAGAUACCCUGGUAGUCCUAGCCGUAAACGGUGCACAUUUGCCGUAAGAGGAAUCGACCCCUUUUGUGGCGCAGCUAACGCGAUAAAUGUGCCGCCUGGGAAGUACGGUCGCAAGAUUAAA